CCUCCAAUGUUGCUGAACUACAACUCCCAUGAUUCUCAGCCUAUUUCAUUCCUAGAAUCAUGGGAGUUGAAGUUUAGCAACAUUGGAGG